UAAGGAAUAUUGGUCAAUGGACGGAAGUCUGAACCAGCCAUGCCGCGUGCAGGAAGACGGCCCUACGGGUUGUAAACUGCUUUUGCAGGGGAAUAAACCCUGGUAUGUAUACCAGGCUGAAUGUACUCUGAGAAUAAGGAUCGGCUAACUCCGUGCCAGCAGCCGCGGUAAUACGGAGGAUCCGAGCGUUAUCCGGAUUUAUUGGGUUUAAAGGGUGCGUAGGUGGCCUGUUAAGUCAGGGGUGAAAGACGGUAGCUCAACUAUCGCAGUGCCCUUGAUACUGAUGGGCUUGAAUGUACUAGAGGUAGGCGGAAUGUGACAAGUAGCGGUGAAAUGCAUAGAUAUGUCACAGAACACCAAUUGCGAAGGCAGCUUACUAUGGUAUGAUUGACACUGAGGCAACGAAAGCGGU
rnacentral:rRNA from 1 species